CGUCCGCAGCGGUCUAUCUGCGGAGCCAUCUCGCGGCCGGGAAUGUGCAGCGUUCUGUGUGCAUCCGGCCGGUUUUCAGAGUCCUCUUUCCCUGGAUGACGGCUCGCUAGCCUAAGAGCACUGUAGCCAGUUCCAGCCGGGACGUGGGGAGGAUUCCUAGAUUUUCUCAACCAGAAGCGAAGGAGGAAGCAGAAAGGGGCCCAGUUGGAGCCAAGGCAGUCUGGACCUGCCUGGUGAGCGAGGAACUGAUUUCCCUGCUCUGCGUGGAGUUUCUGAUGAAGGAAGAAAAGUUUAUGGGUACCAGGUAAAGGUGUGGGGUGGGGCGGGGCGACACCCCAGUCAACCCCAGUCCAGCCUCUCCACCUACGGCCUGAGGACGAACACUGCGGGACCCAUGGGCACAGAGCUGAGGAGCCAGUGGAAACAGCCAUGGCCGAGCCAAAGGGCACCUCACUUGGGGGCACACAGCAAGUCCAAGGACCCCACAGGAGUGGCCAGGGAUGGCUGGCAGCUUCCGGAGCCUUUGCUUUCUCUCUGGGACCAAACAGAUCCACUCCUCCAUUUCCCUUCAGAAAGGACAAGCCUCCGGGGGACGUCACGCCACAGGACACACGUUACCCUGAGCGCAGGCACAGCCCUUGGCUCACGGCUGCUCGGCUCUCCGGGGUCAGUGUGCUCUGAGUGCACUGUACUCAGGGUCUGUGUGAUCUCACCGUUCACAACACUUUAAAAUUAGUUUUGAUUUUGCAUGUGCCACGCAUGUCUGUUCCCACAGGGGUCAGGAGAGAGUGCUGGGUCUCCUGGAGCUAGACCGUGAGCCAUUACGUAGGCGCUAGGAGCCAAGCCCGGGUCCAGGCAGGAGCCAUAGGGCUCUCGGCCUCUGAGCCCGUCUCCCCUCAGUCUUCUCAGUUUUCCGGACUCGCUGGCACAGACGCACGCUGUGUCCUACACGUUCCAAGCCUACCUGAAAAGAGCAUGAGUUCUCCUGUUCACCCGUCAACGCUGAUCACACCCCGUUGGUUGAAAGCACUGAAUUUCUGUUUCCUUACUGACUUUUGCUUAAUCGUUCAGUCGGUUGCUGACAGGUGAGCCACGGCUUAGGACGUCAGAGAAUUCUGGUUUGGAGCUGAGCAGUCCUUCGCUGGGUUCUUGAAAGGUGGACGAACGGAUAACUGGGCUCUGGAGAGACGCUUCCCAAGUCCGAGCUGUACCGGCAGGGCGCCCGUGGAAAUGUUCACCUCCUGGUCAAGGAGAGAGCCCGGGACCACAGUCCCUUCAGCCCAGGGAGCUAAAGGCCUCUCAGUGUGCUCUGCUAAGACCUCCGCCACUCUCCAAGGCACCCCAGCAAGGACCACCCCACAGCCGGUCAUUGUUGUGGUCAUCGUUGUCAUGACACCAGCCAGCUGCGGGCUGGAUUCGAGCCCAGGUCAUCCGACCCCUAAGGCUGGCCUCUGUCCUGUGCCUUUGCCCUGCUCUCUUCAUGCUGAGGUAGCUGAGGGGCAGCGGUGACCUUGGCGCGCUGUCUCCUUCAGUCUCUCCAGGUAUAAAGUAAGAAAGCUCAGCACAAGUGUCUUGGAGUCUGCGUGGCUGUUCACCGAUGCCCUGUUUAAGGCACGCUGAGGAGAGCUGGGGUUUCAGACCACACAAAGAGGAGGGAGGUAACCCUUCCCAGGGGCGGGGGCCUCUCUCUAGAGUGUUCUUUUAAAAAACCAAAAAUCCCAACCGUUCUAUUUUACCAGUAAAGACUGGGAGCCAGAUGUUGGGGUGAAAAGCUGCUAGCUCAGAAGAGCAGAGAAGGCACCCAGCUGACCUUCCUUCUCAGCUCAGGUCCUGAUGGAGAAACCCAAAAGGCUCACUAGCUCAGCUGACAGACCAGGAGAAAAAGGCUAAAAACCCAAGGGCAAAGGCUUUCUAGCUCAAAGCCCCCGAAGCCAGAGAACUAGAGAGCUAACAGCUCCUUCUACAUCUUAAACAGCCCUCAACACAAAGUCCCUCCUGCUCUUUAAUCCCUGUCAGCUGGUUUCCCGCUCCGACUCUUGACCCAGCAUUAACUUUGUUAAGUCCUGUGCAAAGAAAGCUCUUGGAUUAAAGGUGUGUGCUAGGGCUGAGCCACACCAAACAAGAAGCAGGGGCUUACAGUACACAGUUUGGGGGUUCAGGAUGGGAUCGCCUGCGACAGGAGGGAGCAGCCUCGGGCUGCAGUGGGCAGCUUUCGCACGCACUCAUCGGUCAUUAGUAAACAUACACUUGGACCACAGAAAGGCUUUGCCGCUGCUCUGAUCCUUGCUGGGGAAGGCUUUGCUGUUGUCGUGGAUCUGAGGUACUGGGGUCCUGGACAUGGCUGUGCCUGCGUCAACAGUACACGUUUUACUCAGGACUUUAUCCACCCCUUGCAUAGCCAUUCAACGCUUCCUCUGUUCCACACACAAAUAUAUAAGCAAACAACUGAAAACAAUAUGCUAUACUUUCUCCAGUUUAAGCCAGGAAGCCAGCUUCACCCUUCGCCUGCUCCUCAGAGAAUACUGAGAACACUGGAGUUGUAGAAAUGGUUCAUUAAUGUUGUUCUAAUCUAUCCCUAGGCUCUAAGGAAGCUAUCCACUCAUGAGAUGAAGUGUGUCUCAAAAGUUUUUUAUAGAUUGAUGUUCUGACCCCAGAAUGCAAGUAUUUAGAAAUAAAUGUCUCAAAAGUGACUGA